rnacentral:rRNA from 1 species
UGGGGAAUUUUUCGUAAUGGGGGAAACCCUGACGAAGCAAUGCCGCGUGGAUGAUGAAGUAUUUCGGUACGUAAAAUCCUUUCGACGGGGACGAAACCGCAAGGUUGACGGUACCCGUAGAAGAAGCCCCGGCUAACUCCGUGCCAGCAGCCGCGGUAAUACGGGGGGGGCAAGCGUUGUUCGGAAUUACUGGGCGUAAAGGGUGCGUAGGCGGCUUUCUAAGUUGGAUGUGAAAACUCUGGGCUCAACCCAGAGACUGCAUCCAAAACUGGAGAGCUUGGGUUCUGGAGGGGAAAGCGGAAUUCCUGGUGUAGCGGUGAAAUGCGUAGAUAUCAGGAGGAACACCGGUGGCGAAGGCGGCUUUCUGGACAGAUACCGACGCUGAGGCACGAAAGCUAGGGGAGCAAACAGGAUUAGAUACCCUGGUAGUCCUAGCCCUAAACGAUGGAUACUUGCUGUGAGGGGGAUUGAAACCCUUUGUGGCGAAGCUAACGCAUUAAGUAUCCCGCCUGGGGAGUACGGUCGCAAGGCUGA